rnacentral:rRNA from 1 species
UACAGAGGUCUCAAGCGUUGUUCGGAUUCAUCGGGCGUAAAGGGUGCGUAGGCGGCGCGGUAAGUCGGGUGUGAAAUUUCGAGGCUUAACUUCGAAACUGCAUUCGAUACUGCCGUGCUUGAGGACUGGAGAGGAGACUGGAAUUUACGGUGUAGCGGUGAAAUGCGUAGAUAUCGUAAGGAAGACCAGUGGCGAAGGCGGGUCUCUGGACAGUUCCUGACGCUGAGGCACGAAGGUCAGGGGAGCAAACGGG